GUGUCCAUUUCAUGUUGAAACACCAGUUCUCUUACCAUCACCGAAAUUAAGCAAUGUCGGAUCUGGUUAGUACCUAGAUGGGUGACCGCUUGGGAAUACAAGGUGCUGUAA